UUGAAUUAUCAAAGGGAGGUCCUGCCUGCCCUGUGACCCCUGGUUCAACGGCCGCGGUAUUUUGACCGUGCAAAGGUAGCGCAAUCACUUGUCUCUUAAAUGAGGACCUGUAUGAAUGGCACAACGAGGGCUUAACUGUCUCCUUUCCCCGGUCAGUGAAAUUGAUCUUCCCGUGCAGAAGCGGGAAUCCUAACAUAAGACGAGAAGACCCUAUGGAGCUUUAGACUCCAGAACAGAUCAUGUAAGCUACCCCCAUAAAACAGGUAAUAACUAUUGAAUUUCUGUUCCCCUGUCUUUGGUUGGGGCGACCACGGGGAAGAAAAAAACCCCCAUGUGGACCAGGAGCACAUUACUCCUACAACCAUGAGCCACAGCUCUAUGCACAAAACCUUUGACCAUUAGAUCCGGCAAAGCCGAUCAACGGACCAAGUUACCCUAGGGAUAACAGCGCAAUCCCCUUUAAGAGUCCAUAUCGACAAGGGGGUUUACGACCUCGAUGUUGGAUCAAGACAUCCUAAUGGUGCAGCCGCUAUUAAGGGUUCGUUUGUUCAACGAUUAAAGUC
rnacentral:rRNA from 1 species